GAACUUAAAGGAAUUAGACGGGGCCGCGACAAGCGGAGGAGCAUGUGGUUUAAUUCGAUGAUACGCGAGGACCUUACCUGGGCUCGAACGUAAGAUGACUGUAGGUGAAAGCUUACAUCUCUUCGGAGCAUUUUACGAGGUGCUGCAUGGUUGUCGUCAGCUCGUGCCGUGAGGUGUCGGGUUAAGUCCCAUAACGAGCGCAACCCUACCUUUAGUUGCCAUCAGGUAAUGCUGGGGACUCUAAAGGAACUGCCUACGCAAGUAGUGAGGAAGCGGGGAUGACGUCAAAUCAGCACGGCCCUUACGUCCAGGGCUACACACGUGCUACAAUGGCCGAUACAGAGGGCAGCUACCUGGUGACAGGAUGCAAAUCUCCAAAGUCGGUCUCAGUUCGGAUCGGAGUCUGCAACCCGACUCCGUGAAGUUGGAUUCGCUAGUAAUCGCGCAUCAGCCAUGGCGCGGUGAAUACGUUCCCGGGCCUU
rnacentral:rRNA from 1 species